AUUAAAGACCUAAAUAUAAAAGCUAAAACUAGUAAGACCUAGUAAGACCCACAGUGGGGGAAAAAUAACUAAGAAGCACUUAGUGAAGCCUGAAGUAGUUACCGUGAAGGAUUUGUUGCUUGUUUUGGUUUGGUUCUAGGUUGGUGAUGAACACCUUAGGAAACAACACCGGGUGCUGGCAGAUCUUCAUUACAGCAAGGCCGCAAAGCUGUUUCAGCUGCUGAAAGAUGCUCCCUGCGAACUGCUUAGAGUACAGCUAGAGAGAGUAGCAUUUGCUGAAUUUCAGAUGACCACCUAAGAGUGGUGAUGCCGCUGCAGCUGCUGAUGCUUCUCCUAGUCUCAAUCGAGAAGAAGUGAUGAAACUCCUCAGUAUAUUUGAGUCUCGGUUGUCAUUUCUUCUCCUUCAGUCCAUUAAACUGCUAUCUUCAACUAAAAAGAAAACAAGCAAUAACAUCGAAGAUGACACAAUUCUCAAAACCAACAAGCACAUUUACUCCCAGCUUUUGAGAGCAACUGCAAAUAAAACCGCGACUCUUCUGGAAAGAAUCAACGUUAUCGUCCACCUGCUGGGCCAGCUUGCCGCCGGCAGUGCAGCGAGCAGCAAUGCCGUUCAGUGACUGCACAGAGCCGUGUCCCAGACACGCUGUCAGUGCCUUCAACACGGAGCCGGUUUGUUCAUUCGGUGCUUUGUUUCAUUAAAUAAUAGGGAAAUAUCCAUUUAAAACAGGUAUAUCAGUGGAAACACAGAGUUAUUUUAAGUGACAGACAAAUUACGGUUGAGUUCUGUGGCUUCUUCACUUGAAGUGCUAACAUCAGAAUCAAACUUAAAGCUUCCACUGUUUAUGUCUUUG
rnacentral:sRNA from 1 species